CAGUCGAUGUAGCUGGGAGCCAACUGGAUCCUUACAAGAAAAUCACCUCGAUUUGGAGCAGGGGGUGGGGAAUAUCUAAUUUUCUAGAACCCUCCCAGCACUUUCGCUCUUUCCCUGAGCAAGCCAUCGCCAUCCACUAUGCCACGCCGGAUUUUCGAAUAGGCUUAAGAGCUAUUUAAUGACUGUAGACCUCUGGCAUAUGCCCACUACUAUUCUCCUUUUUCUUUCUUUCUUUCUUUUAAAAAUCCGUUCCAUCUGCAGUAACGUCUUUGUUGGUGUUCCUGGAUUUAAAUGUCGAACUAACGCUGUUGACUGUGCUCCAUGCGUUGCAGACACCAGUUGAUAGCAUACGGCAAUAACUGGUCAGCGUGCGGAAAAGUCAUAUGGAACUCAAUAAGCCGUCAUCAUUGGUCUCGGACGGAAGCAAAGAGAUGUGCCAAGAAAUAUAUAGACCAAAUACUGCGAGAUCUCCAGACAGGAAGGACGCAUGUCGAAAACGAAGACGAAUAAUAAAUCCGGCACAGGCAAAUUGUCGCCAACUCGCCAUUGGGUCAGGUCUGAGGAGCUGCGCUUUUCCAAACAAGCGAGGAUCAGAGAGAGAAAAAAAUUGACGGCGCUUCCGCUGGGGGCAUCUCGUAUCCUUGCACUGACCAAAGUUAAGAUGAACUCUAAGACCGUGAAGAUGCUGCCAUACAAGGGCUGACAAGGUCUUUCCUUCAUUGUCAGUUUCCCUCAACACAAAAAGGAGCCAGAAGCGAGCUGCAGUCUGCCUACAGUGAAAUUGCUUAAAGAAAGAAAAAGAAAAAUACAUAAGCAACUUCAGAAAGCAAAAUGCCUUGUCAGACCACUAGAGGGUGGUCCCUUCAUGUUCUUUGUAGAAAGAACUAAUAAGCAAGUUAUCUUGGUAUGUAGUAUUUAUUUAAGGCCCCAACCUUAAAACAUGUAACAUGGAAAUAAGUUGCAUUGAUUUCAGUUACUUCUGAGAAAACACAGCUAAGGUUAGGCUUCAGUAUAUAUAUAAUCUCUUAAGCUCAGUGAUAUUUUAGUUUUGGUAUGGCUUGUGGCCAGACAAAUAAAAUUUACUACUAAAUUCAUUUAAUGAUAAAAUAAAACAGAUCUGUAAUUUUG